UACGUAGGGGGCAAGCGUUGUCCGGAUUUAUUGGGCGUAAAAGGCUUGUAGGUGGCCACGCCAAGUCGGAUGUGAAAUCUCCCGGCUCAACUGGGAGGGGUCAUUCGAUACUGGCGGGCUCGAGGCCGGUAGGGGGAAGUGGAAUUCCCGGUGUAGUGGUGGAAUGCGUAGAUAUCGGGAGGAACACCAGUGGCGAAGGCGGCUUCCUCGGACCGGUUCUGACACUGAGGAGCGAAAGCGUGGGGAGCGAUC
rnacentral:rRNA from 1 species